GCGCCUGUAGCUCAGGGGAUAGAGCGUCGGUUUCCUAAACCGUAGGUCGGAGGUUCGAAUCCUCCCAGGCGUG
rnacentral:tRNA from 2 species